rnacentral:rRNA from 1 species
AGCGAACGCUGGCGGCAGGCUUAACACAUGCAAGUCGAACGCCCCGCAAGGGGAGUGGCAGACGGGUGAGUAACACGUGGGAACGUACCCUUUGGUUCGGAAUAACUUGGGGAAACUCAAGCUAAUACCGGAUACGCCCUUAUGGGGAAAGGUUUACUGCCGAAGGAUCGGCCCGCGUCUGAUUAGCUAGUUGGUGAGGUAAUGGCUCACCAAGGCGACGAUCAGUAGCUGGUCUGAGAGGAUGAUCAGCCGCACUGGGACUGAGACACGGCCCAGACUCCUACGGGAGGCAGCAGUGGGGAAUAUUGGACAAUGGGGGCAACCCUGAUCCAGCCAUGCCGCGUGAGUGAUGAAGGCCUUAGGGUUGUAAAGCUCUUUUACCCGGGACGAUAACGACUGUACCGGGAGAAUAAGCCCCGGCUAACUUCGUGCCAGCCGCCGCCGUAA